rnacentral:rRNA from 1 species
UACAGAGGUGGCAAGCGUUGUUCGGAAUUACUGGGCGUAAAGGGCGCGUAGGCGGUCUUGCAAGUCCUGUGUGAAAUCCCUCGGCUCAACUGAGGAACUGUACAGGAAACUGCUUGGCUUGAGUUCGGGAGAGGGAAGCGGAAUUCCGGGUGUAGCGGUGAAAUGCGUAGAUAUCCGGAGGAACACCGGUGGCGAAGGCGGCUUCCUGGACCGACACUGACGCUGAGGCGCGAAAGCUAGGGGAGCAAACGGG